GUAAUGGCGAACGAACAGGGAUCAGCUUGGGUUGGAAACCGGGGCUUCUGCCUUGGAUUGUGGCCUUUAGACAUACUACCAACGGCGGCGCGACGGUAAGCCUCUUGGAACAGAGCGUCUACCUAGGUGAGAAUCCUGUGUUUCGCUUGAUGCCCGCCGUGCACGGUACUUGCUCUCAGAGUCACGCUCCUCGGAAUUGGAGCGUAAAUUGGGUGGUAAAUUUCAUCUAAAGCUAAAUACAGGCUCGAGACCGAUAGCAAACAAGUACCAUGAGGGAAAGAUGAAAAGGACUUUGAAAAGAGAGUUAAAAGUGCUUGAAAUCGCUGAACUGGAAGCGAAUGGAACUAGUGCUCUGGUUGAGAUUGCUGCAGGUGGCUGCAAAAUCUGGGCUCUGGAAUGCAAAUCCUUGGUCUAGUUUGGAGUAGUUGCUUGCAAUGUGUCUCAGCUUGAACAUCAACUUUCAUGCAUGCGUGAGGAUGGCCCUUGGCUCAUGCUGUCUUACUGCGGUGAAAUUCUUGUGCCUUUUGGGAUUCAGGCGUGUGUGGACUGUUGAUCAAUUAGUUCCAUUCGACCCGUCUUGAAACACGGACCAAGGAGUCUAGCACUUGUGCAAGUCCUCAGGUGUCAAACCUCUGUGCGCAAUGAAGGUGACUGCUGGGAUUUUUUGCACCAGCAACCGACCAAUCAAUUGGGAGAAGUUUGAGUAAGAGCAUGUGUGUUAGGACCCGAAA
rnacentral:rRNA from 1 species